CCUAAGGGUCGGGGGAACCCCGACAGAUAGCGCGUUUCGCGCGUACUCCGAAAGGGAAUCGGGUUAAAAUUCCUGA
rnacentral:rRNA from 1 species